rnacentral:rRNA from 1 species
UGGGGAAUUUUGGACAAUGGGCGAAAGCCUGAUCCAGCAAUGCCGCGUGUGUGAAGAAGGCCUUCGGGUUGUAAAGCACUUUUGUCCGGAAAGAAAUCCUUGGCUCUAAUACAGUCGGGGGAUGACGGUACCGGAAGAAUAAGCACCGGCUAACUACGUGCCAGCAGCCGCGGUAAUACGUAGGGUGCAAGCGUUAAUCGGAAUUACUGGGCGUAAAGCGUGCGCAGGCGGUUUGCUAAGACCGAUGUGAAAUCCCCGGGCUCAACCUGGGAACUGCAUUGGUGACUGGCAGGCUAGAGUAUGGCAGAGGGGGGUAGAAUUCCACGUGUAGCAGUGAAAUGCGUAGAGAUGUGGAGGAAUACCGAUGGCGAAGGCAGCCCCCUGGGCUAAUACUGACGCUCAUGCACGAAAGCGUGGGGAGCAAACAGGAUUAGAUACCCUGGUAGUCCACGCCCUAAACGAUGUCAACUAGUUGUUGGGGAUUCAUUUCCUUAGUAACGUAGCUAACGCGUGAAGUUGACCGCCUGGGGAGUACGGUCGCAAGAUUAAAACUUAAA